CAGUAGCACGGGAAUACAGAGGGUGCAAGCGUUAAUCGGAAUUACUGGGCGUAAAGCGCGCGUAGGUGGUUUGUUAAGUUGGAUGUGAAAUCCCCGGGCUCAACCUGGGAACUGCAUCCAAAACUGGCAAGCUAGAGUAUGGUAGAGGGUGGUGGAAUUUCCUGUGUAGCGGUGAAAUGCGUAGAUAUAGGAAGGAACACCAGUGGCGAAGGCGACCACCUGGACUGAUACUGACACUGAGGUGCGAAAGCGUGGGGAGCAAACAGGAUUAGAUACCCCAGUAGUCCCUGUCUCUUAUACC
rnacentral:rRNA from 1 species